AGUGAACGCUGGCGGUAGGCCUAACACAUGCAAGUCGAACGGCAGCACAGUAAGAGCUUGCUCUUACGGGUGGCGAGUGGCGGACGAGUGAGGAAUACAUCGGAAUCUACUUUUUCGUGGGGGAUAACGUAGGGAAACUUACGCUAAUACCGCAUACGACCUACGGGUGAAAGCAGGGGAUCUUCGGACCUUGCGCGAUUGAAUGAGCCGAUGUCGGAUUAGCUAGUUGGCGGGGUAAAGGCCCACCAAGGCGACGAUCCGUAGCUGGUCUGAGAGGAUGAUCAGCCACACUGGAACUGAGACACGGUCCAGACUCCUACGGGAGGCAGCAGUGGGGAAUAUUGGACAAUGGGCGCAAGCCUGAUCCAGCCGUACCGCGUGGGUGAAGAAGGCCUUCGGGUUGUAAAGCCCUUUUGUUGGGAAAGAAAAGCAGCAGGUUAAUACCCCGCUGUUCUGACGGUACCCAAAGAAUAAGCACCGGCUAACUUCGUG
rnacentral:rRNA from 1 species